UUGCAAAGCUCCUCCUGCACUUUGAAAAUGAAACCAAAAGUCCCCACUCCCAUAUAAAAGCAGCUCUGCUUUGCGGAAAUCAGGAACUGCUUCCCAGGAUGGCAGCUUGGGGCCGGGAGAACUCCAGAAGGAGGGGCCCACCUCCCCCGCCCCCGCCUCCGCGUCAGCGGGUUGGGGAUGUUUCCAGACUGUCCCUCUACCCAGAUCAGAGGCAUUUCUGCACGCCGACCCAGGGAUGAGGCUGGAAUGCAGUCUUCCGUUCACAAGUGAGGCGACUCCAGGCUUCAGGAGAAGGAAACGCCUGUCUGGAAUUGGGGACCAAACAGUCUGCUCGCUGUCAGAUCAGCCAUGGCAAGAUCCAGGAAGAAGUCCUGAUUCAACUUGGAAUCAUUUUUGUCACUGACCCACCCUCGGAACUGAGAAGGUUCCAUCCUGAAGGAGGUGUCUCUGGGAGCCAACUUGGGCCCAGGCACAUUUCUCCCCACCACAGAAGCAACAGGUUUAGCUUACUCUUAAAGAAGGAUGUGCUCAGGUUUUGUAAAAAAUACUGAAAAUAAAGGAUGUUUGGU